AUAAAGGCUGUGAAGGGAAAGAGUACCCUUCGCCACGACGGUACAGAGAGCAGGGGAAAGGUGAAAGCCCUGCCCGUUCCGCGAGGGGGAAUGGUUCCCGGAGCCGCAGGGUGAAAGGCAGAGUGCCGAGUAUCCCGCGCCGGAGUUGCCGCCGUUAUUUGGGCAAAGGGUAUAACCGGUUCAUCCAGAACCGCCGUACCCCAUGAGUGAGGCUGGCUUUCUUCCCCGUCGUCGUCACGACGGGGAUUUUGAUUAAACCCCAACCCCAGCCUAAAUUGGGUGGCACCGCGAGAAACCUCUCUCGUCCCAAUG
rnacentral:ncRNA from 1 species